rnacentral:rRNA from 1 species
GACGAACGCUGGCGGCGUGCCUAACACAUGCAAGUCGAGCGGGAAGCUCAUAAUUGAGACUUCGGUUGAUUUUAUGAGUGGAGAGCGGCGGACGGGUGAGUAACGCGUGAGUAACCUGCCUUCAAGAGGGGGAUAACACAGAGAAAUUUGUGCUAAUACCGCAUGACACCGUAGUGUCGCAUGACACAUCGGUCAAAGAUUUAUCGCUUGAAGAUGGACUCGCGUCUGAUUAGCUAGUUGGUGGGGUAACGGCCUACCAAGGCGACGAUCAGUAGCCGACCUGAGAGGGUGAUCGGCCACAUUGGAACUGAGACACGGUCCAAAACUCCUACGGGAGGCAGCAGUGGGGAAUAUUGCACAAUGGGCGAAAGCCUGAUGCAGCAACGCCGCGUGAAGGAAGAAGGUCUUCCGGGAUCGUAAACUUCUGUCCUUAGGGAAGAUAAUGACGGUACCUUUGGAGGAAGCCCCGGCUAACUACGUGCCAGCAGCC